rnacentral:rRNA from 1 species
CCACCAACGAACGCUGCCUGGUGUACUAACACAUGCAAGUCGAGCGCGCCUUCGGGUGAGGGGUUAGUAACGCGUGGGAACGUGCCCUUCUCUACGGAAUAGCCUCUGGAAACGGAGAGUAAUACCGUAUACGCCCUUUGGGGGAAAGAUUUAUCGGACGAAUGAUCGGCCCGCGUUAGAUUAGGUAGUUGGUGGGGUAACGGCCUACCAAGCCUACGAUCUAUAGCUGGCUUUAGAGGAUGAUUCAGCACACUGGGACUGAGACACGGUCCCAGACUCUUACGGAAGGCAGCCAGUGGGGACAAUCUUUGCCAAUGUGGGCACCCCUGAUUUAACCAUUGCCCGGGAAGUUAUGUAGGGCCUUGGGCCGGAAAACCCUUUCCGCCUUGAAGAAUAUUGCACAGGCAAGGUAAGAAACCCCGG